UGGGGAAUUUUGCACAAUGGGGGAAACCCUGAUGCAGCGACGCCGCGUGAUUAAGAAGGCCUUCGGGUUGUAAAAAUCUUUUCUAUGGGAAGAAAAUGACAGUACCAUAGGAAUAAGGACCGGCUAAUUACGUGCCAGCAGCCGCGGUAAUACGUAAGGUCCGAGCGUUGUCCGGAAUCAUUGGGCGUAAAGGGUACGUAGGCGGGUAAGCAAGUUAGAAGUGAAAUCCUAUAGCUCAACUAUAGUAAGCUUUUAAAACUGCUCAUCUUGAGGUAUGGAAGGGAAAGUGGAAUUCCUAGUGUAGCGGUGAAAUGCGCAGAUAUUAGGAAGAAUACCGGUGGCGAAGGCGACUUUCUGGCCAUAACCUGACGCUGAGGUACGAAAGCGUGGGUAGCAAACAGG
rnacentral:rRNA from 1 species